rnacentral:rRNA from 1 species
UACGAAGGGGGCUAGCGUUGCUCGGAAUUACUGGGCGUAAAGGGAGCGUAGGCGGAUAGUUUAGUCAGAGGUGAAAGCCCAGGGCUCAACCCUGGAAUUGCCUUUGAUACUGGCUAUCUUGAGUGUGGGAGAGGUUAGCGGAACUCCGAGUGUAGAGGUGAAAUUCGUAGAUAUUCGGAAGAACACCAGUGGCGAAGGCGGCUAACUGGCCCAUUACUGACGCUGAGGCUCGAAAGCGUGGGGGAGCAAA